rnacentral:rRNA from 1 species
UAGGGAAUCUUCGGCAAUGGACGGAAGUCUGACCGAGCAACGCCGCGUGAGUGAAGAAGGUUUUCGGAUCGUAAAGCUCUGUUGUAAGAGAAGAACGAGUGUGAGAGUGGAAAGUUCACACUGUGACGGUAUCUUACCAGAAAGGGACGGCUAACUACGUGCCAGCAGCCGCGGUAAUACGUAGGUCCCGAGCGUUGUCCGGAUUUAUUGGGCGUAAAGCGAGCGCAGGCGGUUAGAUAAGUCUGAAGUUAAAGGCUGUGGCUUAACCAUAGUACGCUUUGGAAACUGUUUAACUUGAGUGCAAGAGGGGAGAGUGGAAUUCCAUGUGUAGCGGUGAAAUGCGUAGAUAUAUGGAGGAACACCGGUGGCGAAAGCGGCUCUCUGGCUUGUAACUGACGCUGAGGCUCGAAAGCGUGGGGAGCAAACAGGAUUAGAUACCCUGGUAGUCCACGCCGUAAACGAUGAGUGCUAGGUGUUAGACCCUUUCCGGGGUUUAGUGCCGCAGCUAACGCAUUAAGCACUCCGCCUGGGGAGUACGACCGCAAGGNU